rnacentral:misc_RNA from 1 species
GUGAGUCAUCGAAUCUUUGAACGCAACUUGCGCCCGAGGCUUCGGCUAAAGGCAUGUCUGCCUCAGCGUCGGCUUACCCCCUCGCCCUCCCCAUCUCCUUUGUGUGUUUGUGGAGGACGGAUCUGACCUUCCCGGCUCCGCCCGUCACUCGUGAUUGGCGCCGGGUUGGUUGAAGCAUAGAGGUAUGAGCAUGGACCCCGUUCGUAGGGUAAUGGCUUGGUAGGUAGGCAUUCCCUACGCAUCCUGCCGUUGCCCGAGGGGACUUUGCUGGAGACCUAGCAGGAAUUCGGGUGCUCGGGC